rnacentral:snRNA from 1 species
GUACUCACUUUGUCAGCACAUAUGCUAAAAUUGGAAUGAUAUAGAGAGAAUAAGCAUGGCCCCUGUACAAGGAUGACACACAAAUUGGUGGAGUGUUCCAUAGUUCU